rnacentral:rRNA from 1 species
AGAGUUUGAUCCUGGCUCAGAUUGAACGCUGGCGGCGUGCUUAACACAUGCAAGUCGAACGUGAAAGUCCUUCGGGGCGAGUAAAGUGGCGCACGGGUGAGUAACGCGUGGAUAAUCUACCCUUAAGAUGGGGAUAACGGCUGGAAACGGUCGCUAAUACCGAAUACGCUCCCGAUUUUAUCAUUGGGGGGAAAGAUGGCCUCUGCUUGCAAGCUAUCGCUUAAGGAUGAGUCCGCGUCCCAUUAGCUAGUUGGCGGGGUAACGGCCCACCAAGGCAACGAUGGGUAGCCGGUCUGAGAGGAUGACCGGCCACACUGGAACUGGAACACGGUCCAGACUCCUACGGGAGGCAGCAGUGGGGAAUAUUGCGCAAUGGGCGAAAGCCUGACGCAGCGACGCCGCGUGAGGGAUGAAGGUUCUCGGAUCGUAAACCUCUGUCAGGGGGGAAGAAACCCCCUCGUGUGAAUAAUGCGAGGGCUUGACGGUACCCCCAAAGGAAGCACCGGCUAACUCCGUGCCAGCAGCCGCGGUAAUACGGAGGGUGCAAGCGUUAAUCGGAAUCACUGGGCGUAAAGCGCACGUAGGCGGCUUGGUAAGUCAGGGGUGAAAUCCCACAGCCCAACUGUGGAACUGCCUUUGAUACUGCCAGGCUUGAGUACCGGAGAGGGUGGCGGAAUUCCAGGUGUAGGAGUGAAAUCCGUAGAUAUCUGGAGGAACACCGGGUGGCGAAGGCGGCCACCUGGACGGUAACUGACGCUGAGGUGCGAAAGCGUGGGUAGCAAACAGGAUUAGAUACCCUGGUAGUCCACGCUGUAAACGAUGGGUUGCUGGGUGCUGGGAUGUAUGUCUCGGUGCCGUAGCUAACGCGAUAAGCACCCCGCCCUGGGGGAGUACGGUCGCAAGGCUGAAAACUCAAAAGAAAUUUGACGGGGGCCCGCACAAGCGGUGGAGUAUGUGGGUUUUAAUUCGAUGCAACGCGAAGAACCUUACCCAGGCUUGACAUCUAAGGGAACCCUUUCGGAAAUGAAGGGGUGCCCUUCGGGG